rnacentral:rRNA from 1 species
AACGAACGCUGGCGGCAUGCCUAACACAUGCAAGUCGAACGAGACCUUCGGGUCUAGUGGCGCACGGGUGCGUAACGCGUGGGAACCUGCCCUUAGGUUCGGAAUAACUCCCCGAAAGGGGUGCUAAUAUCGGAUAAUGUCUUCGGACCAAAGAUUUAUCGCCUUUGGAUGGGCCCGCGUUGGAUUAGCUAGUUGGUAGGGUAAAAGCCUACCAAGGCGACGAUCCAUAGCUGGUCUGAGAGGAUGAUCAGCCACACUGGGACUGAGACACGGCCCAGACUCCUACGGGAGGCAGCAGUGGGGAAUAUUGGACAAUGGGCGAAAGCCUGAUCCAGCAAUGCCGCGUGAGUGAUGAAGGCCUUAGGGUUGUAAAGCUCUCUUACCCGGGAUGAUAAUGACAGUACCGGGAGAAUAAGCGCCGGCUAACUCCGUG